rnacentral:tRNA from 1 species
CCGGCGCGGGCGCCGCGGGUGAUGUGCCCCCGCCGCUCCAGCCGGUCGAGGACGCCGGUCAGCGUGGUGGGGCGGGUGCCGACCGCCGCGCCGAGC